rnacentral:rRNA from 1 species
GACGAACGCUGGCGGCGUGCUUAACACAUGCAAGUUGAACGGGCAUACAUGGAAGCUUGCUGAAGUGUAUGUUAGUAGCGGACGGGUGAGUAAUGCAUGAGGACCUGCCUACCGGAGGGGGACAACAGUUGGAAACGGCUGCUAAUACCCCGUACGCCGAGAGGUGAAAGGAAUGGAGACAUUCCGCCGGGAGAGGGACUCAUGUCCUAUCAGCUGGUUGGUGAGGUAACGGCUCACCAAGGCGACGACGGGUAGCCGGCCUGAGAGGGCGACCGGCCACACUGGAACUGAGAGACGGUCCAGACUCCUACGGGAGGCAGCAGUGGGGAAUAUUGGGCAAUGGGGGCAACCCUGACCCAGCGACGCCGCGUGAGGGAAGAAGGCCUUCGGGUCGUAAACCGCUUUUGUACGUGAAGAAGCAGAUGACGGUAGCGUACGAAUAAGUCCCGGCUAACUACGUG